CGACUUAGCAGCGGCGGUCUCCAACGGGUUUUCGUGUAUUACGGUGGACUCCACAGCGGCGCGAAAUCUCCUUCGAUUUCUGCAGCAUUGCGACGUCUCCGACACACCACGUAGUUGCUGCAACCACGAACGGCGGUGGUGGUGUGUUGGACAACAGCAACGCCAAUGGUUAUUUGUGUCCAACAAAUCUCCGGUGACCCACGGCCGUGUGUAUUCCAAUGACCACCAACAGCUCCGUUCAGUGGUGUUUGCUCCCUUCCGGCGACGUUAGACAAUUACCCACACAUAAUCGGAACUUGAUUCAUGAUAUCCACUCUAUUCGACAUUAGUUAAGCGUUGACCCACCUCUAAUUGGACUCAAAUCAGCAUUACCCAGCAUUACCCAUAACUGUUUGACAUCAAAUCAGCAAGCCUAAGGCCAUUCGAAGUCGAAUUUUGGAGCCCGAACAUCCUCAGCGUCGACCCACUCCUAACCCAAGAGGUUUUAAGGUGAGAUAGUAGGUAAUGGAUCACCUAAACUUAGUUUCGAUGCAAAUUAAGUGUUUCUAACAUGAACUCUAAUCAAGUUUGGUUUGCUUUUGGAUUUAGGAACCCUUCAAUGAGCUUAGUAGUGCUCUGGGACAUUGUUUGUAAGUAGUCCUUACUUGAGGGGAUUGUUUGCUGUAUGCGUUUGUUUGAUUGUGGGCCUAUUAAGUGUCUUUUGAAUGAUUGUUUGAGAUUUAUGAUACUUUGUAAAUGUUGUUUACAUUAUAAUUGUUGAGUAACAUUUGGAAAUACAUGUAGAUGUGGGAUAUACUGUAUUAUGAGCUAUAUACAUGUUGGAUAUAAUAUUGGUUAGCCAAGUUGGAUUGAUGUUGUGUCCUGGUUGGGCUGAAUGUGAAAGUUGUGUUAACUGUUUUGGCUCUAUGACUUGUUGUGUUUGGAGCAUGCUGACUUUGUCGUGCAACUUGUAUUUGAAAAUGAACUAUUGCGAACUUGUUUUGUAGGAUAUAUGUUGGCUUUCUAUUUUCGAAUCUAGAGCAUGCUGACAGUUGAGAGAAAGAAUUAGGGAAAGUUGCUGAACUGCAGUAGACUUAAAGGAGAAGUGUCGGAGCUUUGUAGUGCCAGAGCAUGCUAUGCUGGAACAAUCUUACGUGGUAGCAAGUCGAGGCAGCGUAGUAACUUUCCUAAUCUUGAAUUUUAAGAGCAUAUGUACAAGAGGUGCAUUGCCUAAAAUUGAGGCUCGAUAUAAAAGCAUAUGCUGACCGAACCGACAAAACCAAUCCCAAGAUAGGAAAUUAUUCCAAAUUUAGUGUUCAAGCUAAGGAGAGCAAACCUCAUUUUUUAGGAGGAGAUGAUGAAAGAAGUUGGUGCCACUGGGUUUUUCAUUGAAUCGGAGGUUGUAGCAGAUUUAAAACUGCUAUUUCAUGAAAUGGGUUGUUUCUUUUCUUUACACAUUGUAUUCUUCACAUUCCCCAUCAACUAAACCCCAUUUUUUGGGUAGGGGGAAUCCUUUGUUGUAACUCAUGAACAUAGAUUUUCUAGCAUGUUUCUAUUGCUGAUAAAUAAAGUUGAUUUAAUGCUUUCAUCUUA